rnacentral:tRNA from 1 species
ACCUGGGAGGUGUAAACAGUUAACGCACUUAGCUGCUAACCAAAGGGUUGGAGGUUUGAGUCCACCCACAGGUG